CCAGACUCCUACGGGAGGCAGCAGUGAGGAAUAUUGGUCAAUGGGCGAGAGCCUGAACCAGCCAAGUCGCGUGAAGGAUGACUGUCUUAUGGAUUGUAAACUUCUUUUAUACGGGAAUAACAAGAGUCACGUGUGGCUCCCUGCAUGUACCGUAUGAAUAAGCAUCGGCUAACUCCGUGCCAGCAGCCGCGGUAAUACGGAGGAUGCGAGCGUUAUCCGGAUUUAUUGGGUUUAAAGGGUGCGUAGGCGGCCUGUUAAGUCAGCGGUGAAAUCUAGGAGCUUAACUCCUAAAUUGCCAUUGAUACUGGCGGGCUUGAGUGUAGAUGAGGUAGGCGGAAUGCGUGGUGUAGCGGUGGAAUGCAUAGAUAUCACGCAGAACUCCGAUUGCGAAGGCAGCUUACUAAGGUACAACUGACGCUGAAGCACGAAAGCGUGGGUAUCAAACAGGAUUAGAUACCCUGGUAGUCCACGCAGUAAACGAUGAUAACUGGGCGUAUGCGAUAUACAGUAUGCUCCUAAGCGAAAGCGUUAAGUUAUCCACCUGGGGAGUACGCCGGCAACGGUGAAACUCAAAGGAAUUGACGGGGGCCCGCACAAG
rnacentral:rRNA from 1 species